AGGAUUAGAUACCCUGGUAGUNCACGCCGUAAACGAUGUCGACUUGGAGGUUGUGCCCUUGAGGCGUGGCUUCCGGAGCUAACGCGUUAAGUCGACCGCCUGGGGAGUACGGCCGCAAGGUUAAAACUCAAAUGAAUUGACGGGGGCCCGCACAAGCGGUGGAGCAUGUGGUUUAAUUCGAUGCAACGCGAAGAACCUUACCUACUCUUGACAUCCAGAGAACUUAGCAGAGAUGCUUUGGUGCCUUCGGGAACUCUGAGACAGGUGCUGCAUGGCUGUCGUCAGCUCGUGUUGUGAAAUGUUGGGUUAAGUCCCGCAACGAGCGCAACCCUUAUCCUUUGUUGCCAGCGGUCCGGCCGGGAACUCAAAGGAGACUGCCAGUGAUAAACUGGAGGAAGGUGGGGAUGACGUCAAGUCAUCAUGGCCCUUACGAGUAGGGCUACACACGUGCUACAAUGGCAUAUACAAAGAGAAGCGACCUCGCGAGAGCAAGCGGACCUCAUAAAGUAUGUCGUAGUCCGGAUUGGAGUCUGCAACUCGACUCCAUGAAGUCGGAAUCGCUAGUAAUCGUAGAUCAGAAUGCUACGGUGAAUACGUUCCCGGGCCUUGUACACACCGCCCGUCACACCAUGGGAGUGGGUUGCAAAAGAAGUAGGUAGCUUAACCUUCGGGAGGGCGCUUACCACUUUGUGAUUCAUGACUGGGGUGAAGUCGUAACAAGGUA
rnacentral:rRNA from 1 species